rnacentral:rRNA from 1 species
GACGAACGCUGGCGGCGUGCCUAAUACAUGCAAGUUGAGCGCUGAAGGUUGGUACUUGUACCAACUGGAUGAGCAGCGAACGGGUGAGUAACGCGUGGGGAAUCUGCCUUUGAGCGGGGGACAACAUUUGGAAACGAAUGCUAAUACCGCAUAAAAACUUUAAACACAAGUUUUAAGUUUGAAAGAUGCAAUUGCAUCACUCAAAGAUGAUCCCGCGUUGUAUUAGCUAGUUGGUGAGGUAAAGGCUCACCAAGGCGAUGAUACAUAGCCGACCUGAGAGGGUGAUCGGCCAGAUUGGGAGUGAGACACGGCCCAAACUCCUACGGGAGGCAGCAGUAGGGAAUCUUCGGCAAUGGACGAAAGUCUGACCGAGCAACGCCGCGUGAGUGAAGAAGGUUUUCGGAUCGUAAAACUCGGUUGGUAGGGAAGAACGUUGGUGAGAGUGGAAAGCUCAUCAAGUGACGGUAACUACCCAGAAAGGGACGGCUAACUACGUG